GACCGUAUUUUAACUACUAUGGCGCUGUGUAAGAAGCAACCUGAGAAGUGUGGAUGAAAAGCUACAGCUUCCCUGCUGAAAUACCUUAGUGAGAAUGCAUAAAAACCAACUCUAAAUGAUGCACAAAGCCACCGAGAGCUAAUCCUUGACAGAAACACUGGAAGGAUUUCUUCUCUGCAAAACUACCCUCUUCCUUCACGCUGAAUCAUCAGAAAGAGGAGCCGGCUGCAUCCCUAAAUUCAUCCCUUAUUUUAAUUAACCCAAGGAUGACAUGGAGGCCUUGGAGACCCUAUACAGUGCUGUGUGUUCAGCAGUAAAUAUCCACCCAUUGUAGUCAGGAGCCAGCAUCUUCAUCAUCCUUUCUUGUUAGAACAAACUUGUCCAACCCAUGGCCCAUGGGCCACAUGUGGCCUAGGACGGCUUUGAAUGCGGCCCAACACAAAUUUGUAAAGUUUCUUAAAACA
rnacentral:lncRNA from 10 species